UACGUAGGGGGCAAGCGUUGUCCGGAAUCAUUGGGCGUAAAGAGCACGUAGGCGGCCCUGUAAGUCCGCUGUGAAAGUCAAGGGCUCAACCCUUGAAUGCCGGUGGAUACUGCAGGGCUAGAGUCCGGAAGAGGCGAGUGGAAUUCCUGGUGUAGCGGUGAAAUGCGCAGAUAUCAGGAGGAACACCGGUGGCGAAGGCGGGUCUCUGGGCCGUAACUGACGCUGAGGAGCGAAAGCAUGGGGAGCGAACAGG
rnacentral:rRNA from 1 species